AUAUUAUUUUCAAGAAAAAAAUUGGAAAAUUCUUCAUAUUUUAAAAAAAUGAGUAAAUUUUUAUAAAAUAUAGAUUCAAAAAAAUAAACUUUAUUUUUAAAAGGAAAAAAAGAGAUUUUUUAAAAAAAUCAGUAACAUUUCAUAAAACUUUAAUUUUUUUUAAAUCUAUAUUUUAUGAAACUUUACUCAUUUUAUGGAAAAAAAAUUAAAGUUUCUAAUAAUGCAUCAACUCUUAAGUGAUUGAUAAGAUAUUUUAAUGUCGUCUCAAUGAUGUAUUUAUUGGGUUUUCUCUCUUAUGUGUGUAAACCAAAUAAUAGUCCAUAUAAUCUUUGACUUGUAUAGAUGAUAUAUAUAUAAUAUAGAUUUUUAAGACAAAAAGAAAUAUAUCUUAUUCCCAUUGAAAAUUCUAGCACUACUUUUCUACUAAACGAUAGGGAAUUCAUUCGUAGUCCAAUCGAGUUGAUUUUUAGUUAGUGAUUUUGUAUCUUAAUCUUCAAUUUAAACAGUGUGAUUGAGUAUUAUAGUUUCCUAACAUUAGUUUUUGUACGUAUUUAUAAUUGUUGGUAAGAUUAUUUAUCAAUUAUGCCUGUAAUUUUAUUUACUUUGUUGAUAGUAGAAGAUUUGUUAGACAACGAUCAUAUGAUUUUUAUUCAUCCCAUCAAGGGAGUUUUUAAGUUAAUAUUGGAUUUUGUUAUUGUUUGUGAUGGUUCUCUAAUUUUUCAUAUUAUUAAUUGCUUGAAUUAUUGUUUCUUAUUAGGUUUAUACAGGAUGAAAAAAUUAUAUUGUUUCAUAUUAAUAUUGUUUGGACAGCUACUUCUCCGAUCCCAACAGCAUGAUAUCCACCAACCUUCAAGUGAUUAAUUGACAAUAAUUUCUAAGCAACUCACUAUAAACAGUGGUACACCAAACAAAUAAAAACUUUUGUACAAAAAAGGACUAUUGAUGUAGGUAAAAAUAAUUUUCAAUUAAAAAAUGAGUCAAUAAAGAAUGUAAAUAACUUAAUAAGGCUAAAAUAAACAAAAAGAAUAGAAAUUCUCCUAACUUCUUUCUUUUUUGGUAUAAAAAAACAGAAAAAUAAUAAUAAUUCAACUACUUGAAUAUUCUAUAUUAUUAAGCUACGUACCUUCACUUUUAGUCCAACCAUCAAUGCUACUAAAAGAUAAAUUCAGACUUUGCAACUCUUUAAAUGGAAGAAAAAAAAGAGAGAUUCAGUGACCAUGAGUUCCUGCUGAAGACGCCGUAGCGGUACAUUUUACCAAGAGAUAUUUUUAUCACGUGUCCGGUAGUGUGGUUGUACGUGACUCGUGACCACUCACAACACUUAUUUUUUCCCUCAAUAUCAACCAAAUCAGAAAGAAGAAACUCAAACUCAUUAUUGAUAAUAGAAGACUAAUUCAUGAAUCCCAUGAUCUCCUUCAAUUCCAACAAGCCUUUCCUUUCCUCUUCAAAACAACCUUUGUGUCCACUGAUAUGACUAACCAAAUUAAUGAAAAAAGACAAUACAAAAUUUCUCUUUAAAGGUUGCUCCAUUUUUUCAAUUUAUUUGCUUGAUGAAGAUUCCCCUCCCGGCUCUUAUUUAAUAUAAGCAAAGCAACCCACCCAAAGGGCCAGAAAUGGAAAAAAGAAAAAAAAAAGAAAAAAAAG
rnacentral:lncRNA from 1 species